CAACAGCUCCACCCCAGAUUAGAUCGAUCUCGCUCGAUUCCUCUGGUCAGCGCCGCCGCUUCGCUCGAUUCCGCUCGCCAAGCGCCGCCGCUUCGCCAGACCUCCACCAAACCCACGCCGCCGCUUCACCAUCGCCUCCAGGCCAAGCCCCAGCUGCGCCUACGCCUCCACCUCCACCUUCCCCAUCCACUUCGGGCCGAGCUUGCCACCGCUCGUGACCGGCUCCUCCCCGACGUUCGCGCCGCUCCCCAUCGACGUUCGCCCCGCUCCCGCCGUUUCCUUCGACUUCGUUCCCUGCGCCUCCAUAGCGCUUCUUCGAAGGAAGCGGAUACAACCUCAUCGCCCCGACCAACUCUCACCGGCCUGCUUCGCGUCCACGGAAGGACUGCUCCGACAUCGACAACUGUUGUGUUCGGCCUCCACGACAGGAACUUGAGGUAACUGAAGAAGAAACCAAUUUCAAUGGCUUCCAAUGGGGUGUUCGCUGAAUUACUCCGUGCCUACAAACUUGAUGGAACGAAUUACACGGUUUGGAAAAGGAAAAUCAUGUUCUUGCUUACGGCUGAGAAUAUUGAUUAUGUUUCUGAAACUUCGGCGCCUAACGAGCCAGCAGAGGAUGCUACAGAUGAAGAAAAGCAGGAAUACAAUGAUGAACUGAAGCAAUGGACCAAGGACAACAAGACUGCCAGAGUUUAUAUCCUUGGCUCGAUGACUGAUUCGUUGGCUGCGGAAUAUGAGUCGGAUAGAACAGCUUGUGGAAUAAUGCUCAGGCUGGAACAAGAUUUUGGAGAAGUUUCCCUUGUGAAGGUGCUUAGUCUUGUGAACAAGUUUCUGACAUCGGAGAUGGGUGAUAAAACAGCCAAUGAACACUUCAACAAGCUCUGUGUCUUGGCAGAAGAAUUAAAAACUGCUGGUUAUCCGUUCCAGGAGGAAGUACAAGUCAUGGUUGUUCUGAAUUCUUUGCCACCAUCAUGGGAACAGUUCAAGAUUUCUUUUUGUCAUUCAGAACGCACACUCAAUAUGAGAAACCUGAGGCAACACUUGCUAAUGGAGGAGGAUCGCAGGCUUAACUCAGGGAAAGAUAAAGCUUCUUAUCAGCCAGAGCUUCACCUUGGUGAGUACAAAAACAAUGGGAACCGAAGGAACUGGACUAAGAGAGGAGGAGGACCGGACCUAAGGGACAAGAUCAAUUAUAAACGUGACAGGGAUCAAAGGAACUACAGAGAUGAGAGAAGGAACAAGGUGCAACAUGGCAAUAACAACAACAACAACUCGUUUUCACAAGAUUGACAAGAGAAACUACAAGUGCCAUAAUUGUGUUAAUACAUGCCACUUCAGGUCAGAAUGCACCAAGAAGAGGAAGCCGAACAGCGAAAGAAAUAAUUUUCACAAGGAUGACAGCCGCAAGGGGAAUCAAUCCCCUGAAGAUAUCAAAUGAAUCCUGGACCUGAGCAUUGGAAACAGAUUUGGAACACUUUGCGUUAUGUCAAGGGAACUAUGGACUAUUUUUUGUGUUUUAAUGGACACAAUCUUCAGCUACAGGGGUUUACUGAUGCUGAUUGGCAAGGGGAUCUUGAUGACCGGAAAUCAACUUCUGGUUAUAUGUUUACACUAGCAGGAGGAGCUAUUUCCUGGAGUAGCAAGAAGCAAGAUUCUGUAGCACUUUCAUCUAUGGAGGCUGAAUAUAUUGCUGUGUCGGAAGCUGUGAAAGAAGGUGUAUGGUUAAAGGAGUUUCUUGCGUCUCUCGUGGUGGUGGAAAGCGCUUCAUAUCCUGUUACUAUUUUCUGUGAUAACCAGGCGGCAAUCAAGGUCUCAAAGGAUCCAAAGUUUCAUAGCAAAACCAAACAUAUUGAGGGAAGGUAUCACUACAUUCGUGAUGUCGUUAAUAGAUUAAAAAUAGUUCGUUUAGAUUAUUUACCUAGUGUGGACAUGGUUGCUGAUCCACUUACUAAACCUCUUAGUCAGGAAGUAUUUUGUAAACAUGUUUGCAACAUGGGUCUUCGUUUCUGGAAUUAGAAUGUUUUAGCCAAGUGGGAGAUGUAGGAAAUACUUAUGUGUGGCUUGCAACAUUUUAUCUAUACUACAUAGUUCCUGGAAUAUGUUUACCUCGA